AGAAAAAAAAGAAAAAGAAAAACAUGUUUUUUUCCUUGUGAUGAGAACUCUUGGGAUCUACUCUCUUAACGACUUGCAAAUAGUCUUCCCUCUAAACUUGAAUUUAGAGUGGCCUGGCCCCAAAAAUUGCCUGCUCGUGGGGGAUGGGCGAACGUCUUUGUUCAAAGUAGCUCAGAAAGGACCAGCCACACUGAAUGCCUUCUCUGUGCCCUCACUCUGCACCAUGCACUGUGCUAAAAACUUUACAUGGAUUGUCGCAUUUAAUUAGCUCAAAAACCCUUUAAGGUGGGUACCGUUAUUGUCCUCAUUUUAUAGAUGAGGAAACUAAGGCUUGGUGAAACUAAACAAUUUGUUCAAGAUCAUAUAACUAGCAAGCUGCAGUGCUCAGAGUCAAGCUCUGUCUGAUGGCGGUUUCAGACUCUGAAACCACUGUCACACAUUCACACGCACUCACACACAUGCACAAGAGAGAAAAUUAGUAUUCUCUUUACUGAUGCUGGAGAAAAGAUCCUAAAAAUGAGUGGGACUAGGUUGGGACGUUGCAAUUGGAUAAGUCUGUUGGUGGCCCAAAUGGUGUGCCAAGCCAUUCUCUCCUUUCUCUUCCCUGCUCCAUGCUUGGGAUGCCGACCCCUGUGGACUGCAUCCCUUGGGCCCCUUGCUGACUGGCUGCCAGGUGGAUUUGGUACAGGGAGACAGCGGCAGGGCAUCAGAGAGGGGAUCAAGGUAUCAAGGGGGCAAAUGGAUAACCCCCUCCAUGCCUUCUGUUCCUGCCAGUUGGCCCCAUCUCUACCUUCAGCUUGCACCCAGCUCUGGUAACUCUAUUUCCUCCUUGUCUCUCUGGCCUUAGUGGAGGUAAUGUCUUCCAAUGUCGCUAGUCUCUGGAUAUCUUUGUUUUCUGGUUUGUUGCCUUAAUCUUGCCUAUACAUCUGUGAAUAGUUCUUCACAAAAUCUCUUUAUUCAAACCACCUGAGAUGAAUUCUGUGCCUUCCCAGAACGCUGAAUGAUAAGCUGAGUGGUUUUAAUUAAGACCAAACAAGAAACGUACUGUCAACAAUUGUGAUUGCCUUCUUUGGGCCCUGGGGGCAAGAUCAUCUUCACUCAUCUUUGGGCUUCAGAUGAUGGGAUCCUGAACUCCCUCUUCUCUGGAGCCAGGGAAAGUUUGCUCUGAGAAAUAGGGCAAGAGCGCCAUUGGUGGGCAGUUGUCUGGCCCCUGCAACAUGGUGACAGGUAGAGGGAAAUAUUAAGGAUAGAAAAAGCCAACAGGAAAUUCCCUGUGGAGGCUCAUGACCAAUGGACCCAAACCACAUCAAGUUCAGAUUGGUUAACAGUGAUCCAAAGAUUGGGAAAAGUUACCUCGUUUCUUAUAACAACCAGUUUAUCAGGAGUUCAUUAUUUCUGCCCCCCCCCCCCAAAAAAACCUCCCAAAUCCGAACACAACAAUAAUGAAAAAGAUACUAAAAGCUUAAGGUUUAGCCAAAAGAAAAGGUCGCAUUUAGCUUUGGGGUUUGGGACACCAGUGUAGCAGUCUAUUAAAAUUUUGAUUCACAGUUGUCAUCAUGUGAUUGCAGGAGAGUAAGUGGAAUUCUGCCCAAAUGCAUCCUCUGCAGUAGCCAGGUUAUUUUUCAGUCUGUCCUACCUCUUUUCCUUUUGGAACUCUUGUUUCCUGCUUUCCAUAAGAUCUGUGGGUUCUGUCAAUUGAGGGUUCUCGCUGCCUUUGCCAUGGGGACAGGCACACAACCCAGUCUGACUGAUUAGAUUAUUCUGGAACCAGUGAGUUGUCCAGGGGCUGACUCAAGGCAAAUCAGGAUCCUUUAUUGAUGCAACUAUUGACAGAGGAGCUUUAAGGGCAGAAUAAGCUCACAGCUGCCUGCGGCCAUUUGCUGUCACAAGGAGAAAGACUUUCAGACAAUAAAGCUAAACAGAGAGAGAUGGACAGACACAGUGUGCCCUUCUCCUUGUUCUGGCCCCUGAAUCCAGCAAUGCCUGUAGGGCACCCUUGGGCUUUCAAUAAUAUGAGCAAUGAUUUCAUCUUUUAAGAAGGAGCUAGAUGUUGCAUUUCUGUCACUGUACAGUGAAAAAGUUUUGACUAAUUCUCCUAUCCUCAAGAAUAACUAAUUCCAGUCAAUACAAGGGAGCAUGUUGUUUUUUUUCUUUAAAGCUUUAAAGAAGAGAAUUCUUGCUCUUUCACCUGUUUCAGAAGCGAAAGUCCUCCUUGUAUUGAUCCUUCUAAAUCCAUCCUGUGGCAGUUUAAGUCAGCUUCCUUUGUUCUCUUCUCACAGGUUGUACAAAGUAGCUGGUUCCCAUCUUCUGCAGAGUAAUCUUUGUAUCAUUUAGGCAAGUAAUGGGGUACCCUGAAGCCAGUUUCCUCCAGGCUAAGAAAUUUGAGGCACUUAAGUCUAUCUCAAAGGUUUUUUUUCCAGCACGUUUCUCUCUGAAUUGCAGAAUUUUGAAUCUUUUCAUUUGAUCUGGAGAGGUGGAGGGAGGUUCCAGAAACUAGUAGAGAAGGUCUUUAUUGAAAAAACUUUACUCCAAUGAUAAAGAAUUCUAUUACUGUAAUUUCAAUACUAAAUAAAUGUUUCAGAAAAUAAGGUAGGUACAAAAGAUUCACGCAGAAAAAAAUGUAAAUAUAUAUAUCUAUAAACCGCUUUUUGGUUCAGUUUCAAAGCAGAUGGCAAAUUUCUGAGGAUGCACUUAGUGGCUGGGUUUUGCCAUCUCGUCGAUGUGUUGUCAAGGUGAAGGAGGGGCCGGAGCCUUUGAUGUCUGCGAGGUGGGGCUUUCUAGGUCUUUCUUCAUGCUCAAAAGAAGAGUAUUGGUUACUCCCAGUCUCUUUGGAAAUAAGCUUUUAGGGAAUCAGGCCAAAAGGACUAGAACUUGGGGGAGUGUGUUUCAUGCCAGGAAGCCUUAAUUAAAGAGUGGGAGGUAUAGAUUAUCUUGAAGAAAGACCUCUGGUAAAGAUCUAUUUUUAACCUUAAUGAAUAUGCUAUUAAUUAAAAAGUCUUCCGGAUAAGACACAAAGACUUACCAAAAGAUUAUUGCCUGCUAUGUUUAACCUGGGAACAUGACACAAAAUGCUUUAAACAGGAAACUUAUUACAUUGAAAGAGAACUUUCUCUUGGUAAAAUCAUGUUCAGAAUAAUGAACUGUCAAUUUGCUUUAAUUACUUUUAAACAUAUAAACAUUUUCAAACACCAAGAUAACACUGUGCCCCAGGAAAUCUCGGGGUGCAGGGGGCUUGGGGUUCCUGAGAUGAGCUGUUAUUUCUGAUAUCCAGCAACAGUUUUGCAGACAUGUCCCCAAAUAAACUAUUUAACAAAACUCAACUCUCUCUUCUCCUCAUGUUCUUCUCUUUAUCUAACUUCUAAAUAUAAUUCAAUCAUAGGUUUGAGCAAUUUAAUUAAUUAAAUUACCAACGCUUGCCUAAAGAACAGUGUCUAUUCUUGGUGAGCUAAAUUAUUUUGAAGCAAAUUAAACAUUUAGAAAAGUGGUUUGCAUCCCUCACGGCACAUUAGCAUUACCGGGGGAGCUUAAAAAAAAUACUAACAUCCUGGUUCCACCCCCAGAGGUUGUGUUUUAAUGGGAAUGGGAGGGGAGGCAGCCGCUCUGAGAUUUUAGCUUGCAGUCAAAGGUAGGAUUCACCGACUUAGCGACUGAAAGAAAUCACACUGCCAGUUCAAGUGCAAGUCACCAGAAAGCAGGAUGGCUUCGCAGGAAGAGCACAGGAUGCAGAGUGAGGGGUUGUCAUCUCACCUGUACUUUGUCCCCUGUUUGGACUUGAUCAUGUACUUGGCCUCUUCCUCUCUGUGCAGCAUUUCCUCGCUGGUAAAAUUGGGAUAAUUAUGCCCAGUUUGCAGAGUUGUUUUGAGGAAAAGAAACACCUUGUACAUGAGGGAACCUCUGUAGCAAGAGCUGUUAUUAAUGUCGUGUGUAACUCUGCCUGGAAAAAAUAUUUUCUUUCUUAUUUGCCUCCCCUCUGCGAAUAGGAGUCCAAAUCCACAUUGUUUCUGGGAACCGUGAAUUCUCUGGACUUGCAUGGAUGGUCCUAAAGGCUAUAUUGAGGUUGCAGAGUCUUAGGGUUUAGAAAACCAGCACCUGUGACUUCAAAGCUGAAGCAGCGUGGGUCAGUGAAAUGAGUUUGAAGGGUGCAGGGAGCAGGAGCUUUCCUUAGGAGGGUCCCAGGUCAUGUCAAGAGGACCUGCCAAGGACAUAGCAGUCCCAAGCUUUGGUCUUCUGACGCUCUACCUAUGGGAAAGGGAGUACCUAUAAAUUGGCCAACAGGUAAGGUUUGGAGUUUUAGCUAACUGGUUAUUUUAGAGUUAGUCACUUAAUAUACCAAGCCUCAAUUUCCCCAUCAGUAAUGAGGGCUAUAACUCACAUGUCCGAGACACUCACUUUAUUUCCCAGAGAUGACUGAAAUGGACAUAGGAUAUUAUCACAGCAGAGGAGCCACCAAAGACAAAAAUAUGCAAGUGUUUUUAUCAGGUGGUCUUGAGUAUGUGAAGGUGAGAAGAUCCCAGGUGGCAGUGGCACGCAUAGAACUGGCAUCUUGUCAAUCUGAUCCUGUAUUCUAGAAGGAAACCUGCAUGAUUAAAAGAAAUCUUGUCGCUCAUAACCUUUUCCUCCCCUCAGAGGCAGAAGUAGUGUUAGCUGUUCCCACUGCCUGGGGGUGGAAAAAAGUGGUAGAUGGAAGCCACGGCUGGGGAGCAAGAUGGGCUUCUUGCUCUGUCCAUUCCAUAUCAGAGAUUUACUGCUGCCUCCUAAAUAAACAAAGCCAUCGGGGCUUUAAAAGCCCAGACCAGACAAAUGACCAAGAGGAAGGAGUCAUUUUUCAGCCUUAACACUAUUUGUUUAUUGUGUGUCCACUGUCAUUAGCCCCUAAGAGUGAAAGCAGACUGGUCCAUUUCAUUUUCCUAUUAUCUAGUUUAUGACAUCAUUAAAAUUAAUUGAGCGCUCAUCUCAACACAGAACAAGCAGGCCAUGUGGAGGAGGCAGUGUUCCUGGAAAUAUACCGGCGGAGGAUCUGAGUGUGUUCUCCCUGUCAGGAUGGUGCAGCCUGGACCCUUAUCCCACGCAGGUCACGGAACCUUAGCUAGGACAGUUGUGCAUCAUGGUGGUCACUCCAUGUCCUCAGCCCUGUUGUUUCUCAGUAGAAGGUACCACAGGACUGAAGCAGUGCUUGGAGUCAGACAGGAGAGAGUAACACAAUUUGCACAGUUGUUUCCUACGGAUUAAAGAGCAAGUGGAGAGUUUCUGUUUAGGACGACGACAAAGUUUGGGAAAUGAUGACAAAGUUUUGGUAGUGGUGAUAGUUGCACACUAUUGUUGAGUGGAUUUUUAAUGCCACUGAAUUGUACAAAUAAAAAUGGCUAAAAUUUUAUGGCUUAAUUUUAUAUUAUGUAUAUUUUACCACAGUCUUUUAAAAAAGGGAAGUGGAUUGGCUUCUAGAUAGACUAGUCCACUGGUAGAGAGGGAGGUAAUCAACAAACACUUGCCACCUUAUUCCCUUUUGAUUUCAAAUGGCACACUGAACAAGCGAUCUUCUGUCCCUUCUGUAGGGUUGACUUACCUUGGAAGCAGUGACACAUGCUGGCUCUUGUUACAGGAACCACACAGGCACUUAUGCUCAAUGUAAUUCUGGGGCGUUUGAGAACAAAUGGAACCCCUCCAAAUCCUAAUACUUAUAUAUGUUUUGGCAAGGCUUGAACUCCUUUUGUGCUCCAAAAGAUGGACCUAAGAGUUUGUCUCGGGGUGGACUCUCCUACUUUUCCUACGGGAAUGAUAAACGGUUCAUCUCAUUUAAUGUAGGUACUCCAUACAAUUUUUUGAGUGCCACCUCCCCCUUUUUCUUUCACUUCCAGAACUGAGUACUUUAGCACAGAGCUGGAAGAGGUAAAGGCUUUUGGAUUUCUGGCCCAGACACACUUCAUUCUGCCCUUUUUGAGCCUAUGGAUGUCUUCACCGCCUGGAGUUCAGACUAAUAGGAUUGUAAGGUUGGAAGAGGCCAAAAGGUUCCCUUGUUAUCUUCUGUACGAUGCCUAUCACAUGGUCACAGUCGUUGGUCAGACACAUCUGGUGUGGCUCAUAUCUUUGAGAAAGGUCACACCCUGUGACCAUUACUCGUGUUAUCUCCUCAGAGAGCCCCUCAAAGUUUCAAACGUAAACACAUUUCUAAAGUAUCUUCCAGAAAUCCAGAGGCUUAUAGUUCUGCUAUGUCUGUGUUGCGUUCAGAUUGGGUUAUUUUAAUAUUCCAAGAAGACACUUUCAGGUUUAGAAAUUUCAGUUCAAUUCACAUUUUCUACUUGUAAUUUCUACCUGGAAAUUACGUAUGGAAGCUGAGUCACCUCCCUCGCUCCUGGAGCCUGAGGGCAGUUGCCAAGGCCUUCCUCAUUAUUCAAACCACCACACAUUCACACGAAUGCCAACAGCAACACUUGAUGCAUGUAGAAGAUUUUCAUGCUCACAGGUCAUGAAAUGCAUCAGAAUGCUUUCUCUGCAUCCCGUACACUAAGGAUUUAUGGCUGUCUGCGUGCUGUAUUUCUAGCCACUGUAUUCUGAAGGGAAGCAUCCUGCCCUGAGGUAAAGACAGCUUCUUUAUUCAUAUUAGAAAUGAUAGCAAGUAAAGGGCAAGAAUUUUUUUAAAAAUCUCACUUCUGGUAUGUUCAGAAUGAACAUCUUAUUGAAAUAAUACCUUUUAAGUGCUUCCUUUUGCUGUUCAUUUGGGAAGAUAUUCCACAGACUGUACAGACACCCUCAAAUGUUGCCUGGUCCGAAAUCUUUUAUCUGUAGCUUUAGAAGAACAAAGGGUAUGACAUAUGGAGAGGAGAAACCAGCGUGGGGAGGCAUGGCUGGGGACAGGGACGGGAAUGUAAAUCACAUAACCGAUUCUUACCUCAAAACAGUUUUGGUUGGUUUCUACCUGUGGGGGGCUGUCCUUGGGUACAGGAGGGAGAUUACAUAUGGGGUGAUUAAGGGCAUUGUAAUUCAUGAUGUGAUUCAUUGAUAGUAACGCAGAAUUGCCAGCUUUGCAAAUCCCACCCCUUGACCAAAGCCAUACGUUUAAAAGGAAUAAAGGAGGUGGGUUUUAUUUUUACAUAGCCAUGGUUAGUGUGGAUUGGACUGCGUCCCCUCCAAAUUCACAUGUGGGAGUCCUGACACCCAGGGUCUCAGAAUGUGACUAUUUGGAAAUAGAGUCAUUGCAAAUGUAAUUAGUUAAAAUGAGGUCAUACUGGAAUAGAAUGGGUCCCUAAUCCGACAUGACUUGUCUCCCUAUAAAAAGGAGAAAUUUGGACACAAAGACACAUAGAGAAGGGAAAAUGAUGUGAAGACACAGGGAGAAGACAGCCAUCUACGAAGGACAUCAAGGAUUGCCAGCACACCAUCAGAAGCUAGGAGAGAAACAUGCAAGAGAUCCUUCCCUCUGCAAAAAACAAGACAACAGGCCCCAAAUGGAGUCGCUGAUGCUAAGCCCGUGUCACCAAACCAAGACUUAAGUUAAUUACAGUAUUAGCUCUCAAAGAAAUGAAAUCUUAAACCAGUCGAUCAGGAAUUGCCUGAUCGGCCCUAGUUGGGUAAUCUGCCUGAUAGACCCCUACCGUCCCCUACAGGAAAGUAACCUUGCGAUAACCAAGCCACUUGUUUGCCUAAUGUAACUUCCUUGUUCCUGCUCCUUUCUGCCUGUAAGUCUUUCAUUUUGUACAUAGCUCCUCAGAGCGCCUUUCUAUCUGCUAGAUUGGAUG